rnacentral:rRNA from 1 species
AGUGAACGCUGGCGGUAGGCCUAACACAUGCAAGUCGAACGGCAGCACAGUAAGAGCUUGCUCUUACGGGUGGCGAGUGGCGGACGGGUGAGGAAUACAUCGGAAUCUACUUUUUCGUGGGGGAUAACGUAGGGAAACUUACGCUAAUACCGCAUACGACCUACGGGUGAAAGCAGGGGAGCUUCGGACCUUGCGCGAUUGAAUGAGCCGAGGUCGGAUUAGCUAGUUGGCGGGGUAAAGGCCCACCAAGGCGACGAUCCGUAGCUGGUGUGAGAGGAUGCACAGACACCCUGGAACUGAGACACGGUCCAGACUCCUACGGGAGGCAGCAGUGGGGAAUAUUGGACAAUGGGCGCAAGCCUGAUCCAGCCAUACCGCGUGGGUGAAGAAGGCCUUCGGGUUGUAAAGCCCUUUUGUUGGGAAAGAAAAGCAGCAGGUUAAUACCCCGCUGUUCUGACGGUACCCAAAGAAUAAGCACCGGCUAACUUCGUG